rnacentral:rRNA from 1 species
GCCAACCUUGAAAUACCACCCUGGUAAUUUCGGAGUUCUAACCUCGAUCGGUAUAUCCCGGUCAGGGACAAUGUAUGGUGGGUAGUUUGACUGGGGCGGUCUCCUCCCAAAGAGUAACGGAGGAGUGCGAAGGUAACCUCAGCGCGGUCGGAAAUCGCGCAGUGAGUGCAUAGGCAUAAGGUUGCUUGACUGCAAGACAAACAAGUCGAGCAGGUACGAAAGUAGGUCUAAGUGAUCCGGUGGUUCUGUAUGGAAGGGCC